rnacentral:rRNA from 1 species
UAAUACGGGGGGAGCAAGCGUUGUUCGGAUUUACUGGGCGUAAAGGGCGCGUAGGCGGCGUGGUAAGUCACUUGUGAAAUCUCCGGGCUUAACUCGGAACGGUCAAGUGAUACUGCUGUGCUAGAGUGCGGAAGGGGCAACUGGAAUUCUCGGUGUAGCGGUGAAAUGCGUAGAUAUCGAGAGGAACACCUGCGGCGAAGGCGGGUUGCUGGGCCGACACUGACGCUGAGGCGCGAAAGCUAGGGGAGCGAACGGGAUUAGAUACCCCGGUAGUCCUAGCCUUAAACGAUGGAUGCUUGGUGUCUGGAGUAUUUAGUCUCCGGGUGCCGUCGCUAACGCUUUUAGCAUCCCGCCUGGGGAGUACGGUCGCAAGACUG